rnacentral:rRNA from 1 species
UACAGAGGUCUCAAGCGUUGUUCGGAUUCAUUGGGCGUAAAGGGCGCGUAGGCGGCGAGGUAAGUCGGGUGUGAAAUCUCAGAGCUCAACUCUGAAACUGCACUCGAUACUGCUUUGCUAGAGGACUGGAGAGGAGAUUGGAAUUCACGGUGUAGCAGUGAAAUGCGUAGAGAUCGUGAUGAAGACCAGUGGCGAAGGCGGAUCUCUGGACAGUUCCUGACGCUGAGGCGCGAAGGCCAGGGGAGCAAACGGG